AUGGGGACGGGGUCCCCGGAUACACGGAGAAGCAGACUUGGUGCCAUCAUGCUCAGGGAUCCGCUAAGCGGGCUUAGAGGUGUUCGGGGGCUUGUCGCCGAGCACUUGCUUUCUUGGGCACGGGAAGUCUCGCUGCGGCCAGCCCCCGUGAGAUUGGGGAGGGGGCGCGUGAGGAGAGGCCAAUGCCAAUGGCGGUACACACUAUUUGGUGCGGUGCGGGUUAGGGAUUGUGCAAACGCGCACUCUCCCUUCCCCCGGGCGCACAAGUUUGGCCGGCCCAUUUGCGGGCCCCACGGAUCUUUGGGACGGGAAGAUUUUGCUAAGAACAAGGUGAUUGUAACUGUUGUCCGAGAUAACUGUGCAAAAUGGGUUGCUCCGAAGCAAGGCUUCUCCAAGAUCAAUGUGGACGUGGCUGUUUCAAGGCAUGGAGAUAGAGGAGCUCUUGCUGCUAUAUGUCGGAGUGAUGCAGGCGUUUAUAUGGGUUCCUCUGCUAUGAUUAUCAGGGGCCAAAUUGACCCUGAAUCUCUAGAGGCCAUGGCAUGUGCGGAAGGUCUUGCUUUGGCCAGUGAUCUAUACCUGCAAAAAGUUCAGCUUGCUACUGAUUGCUUUGCUACUGUCAAGAAUCAUCAGGGAAGUUAUUUAGGCCGAAAUAGCAUGACAAUUGGUGACAUUAAGGGGAAGCAGUGGGAGUUUGUUGAAGCCCAGAUUACACGUGAGAAGACGGAUCACAGUUAUGAAGCACACAACCUUGCCAAAGCUGCUGUAACUUUAAAUUUCGGUCAUCAUGUAUGGCUGUUAUCUAAGCUGGGCUUGUUGUUUAUCCCUGAUGUUGUUCCUUGA
rnacentral:rRNA from 1 species